AACAAACGCUGGCGGCGUGCCUAAUACAUGCAAGUCGAACGGGGAAGGCUUUCGGGUGAGUACUAGUGGCGCACGGGUGAGUAACGCGUGGAUAAUCUGCCUUAGAGUGGGGGAUAACCAGUCGAAAGAUUAGCUAAUACCGCAUAAGACCACAAGAACUGCGGUUCAAGGGGUCAAAGGUUUUUCGCUCUAAGAUGAGUCCGCGUAAGAUUAGCUAGUUGGUAGGGUAACGGCCUACCAAGGCGACGAUCUUUAACUGGUCUGAGAGGAUGAUCAGUCACACUGGAACUGAGACACGGUCCAGACUCCUACGGGAGGCAGCAGUAGGGAAUACUGCACAAUGGAGGAAACUCUGAUGCAGCGACGCCGCGUGAGUGAUGAAGGCCUUCGGGUCGUAAAGCUCUGUCGCAGGGGAAUAACACAAUGAAGGUACCCUGUAAGAAAGGAUCGGCUAACUUCGUGCCAGCCGCCGCUGUAAAAC
rnacentral:rRNA from 1 species